UACCAGCACCCCGAGUGGUCGGGACGUUUAUUGGGCCUAAAGCAUCCGUAGCCGGUUCUACAAGUCUUCCGUUAAAUCCACCUGCUUAACAGAUGGGCUGCGGGAGAUACUACAGGGCUAGGAGGCGGGAGAGGCAAGCGGUACUUUAUGGGUAGGGGUAAAAUCCGCUGAUCCAUAGAAGACCACCAGUGGCGAAGGCGGCUUGCCAGAACGCGCUCGACGGUGAGGGAUGAAAGCUGGGGGAGCAAACCGG
rnacentral:rRNA from 1 species